rnacentral:rRNA from 1 species
AUGAUCAUCUUAGCCUGGAACUGCCAAGGAUUGGGGUUGGACUCGGUAGUGGGCGAACUUUGAGACCUGAUUAGGUCAUACAACCCAGUGGUGGUGUUUUUAUCAGAAACAAAAAAGAGGGCAGGGGCAAUGGAGAGGCUCAAGUGGAGUUUGGGUUUUAGACAGGGUGUAGCAGUUGACUGCAAAGGUAAAAGUGGAGGUAUAGCACUAUGGUGGAGGGACCAAGUAGAUGUGAUGGUG